GACGAACGCUGGCGGCGUGCUUAACACAUGCAAGUCGAACGGGAAGGCCCUGCUUUUGUGGGGUGCUCGAGUGGCGAACGGGUGAGUAACACGUGAGUAACCUGCCCUUGACUUUGGGAUAACUUCAGGAAACUGGGGCUAAUACCGGAUAGGAGCUCCUGCUGCAUGGUGGGGGUUGGAAAGUUUCGGCGGUUGGGGAUGGACUCGCGGCUUAUCAGCUUGUUGGUGGGGUAGUGGCUUACCAAGGCUUUGACGGGUAGCCGGCCUGACAGGGUGACCGGCCACAUUGGGACUGAGAUACGGCACAGACCCCUACGGGAGGCAGCAGUGGGGAAUAUUGCACAAUGGGCGGAAGCCUGAUGCAGCAACGCAGCGUGCGGGAUGACGGCCUUCGGUUUGUAAACCGUUUUCGCCUGUGACGAAGCGUGAGUGACGGUAAUGGGUAAAGAAGCACCGGCUAACUACGUG
rnacentral:rRNA from 1 species